GCCGGGGUCGCCUAGCCUGGUUCAGGGCGGCGGGUUGCUAACCCGCUGGGGGAUAACCCCGCGCGGGUUCAAAUCCCGCCCCCGGCG
rnacentral:tRNA from 1 species